rnacentral:rRNA from 1 species
AGAGUUUGAUCCUGGCUCAGAACGAACGCUGGCGGCGUGCCUAACACAUGCAAGUUGAACGGGGUUAGUUGGUAGCACGGAGGGCUCAGAGCAAAGGAAGGGAAGGAUCAGAGGACGAUGAGCGUUGCGUGCUAUCAGCUAACCUAGUGGCGGACGGGUGAGUAACACGUAGGUAACCUACCUUUAGGAGGGGGACAACCCCGAGAAAUCGGGGCUAAUACCGCAUAAGACCACGGGUUGGAAAGCCUGUGGUAAAAGUAGCAAUACACCUAGAGAUGGGCCUGCGACCUAUCAGGUAGUUGGUGAGGUAACAGCUCACCAAGCCAAAGACGGGUAGCCGGGCUGAGAGGUUGAACGGCCACACUGGAACUGAGACACGGUCCAGACUCCUACGGGAGGCAGCAGUGGGGAAUCUUGCGCAAUGGGGGAAACCCUGACGCAGCGACGCCGCGUGGAGGAUGAAGGUCUUCGGGUUGUAAACUCCUUUUGUAGGGGAAAAUAAUGAUGGUACCCUACGAAUAAGCCACGGCUAACUCUGUGCCGGCAGCCGCGGUAAGACAGAGGUGGCGAGCGUUGUUCGGAAUUACUGGGCUUAAAGGGCGAGUAGGCGGUAGAGCAAGUCCAAGGUGGAAUCCUAUGGCUCAACCAUAGAAGUGCCUUGGAAACUGUUUUACUUGAGUCAGUGAGGGGAGGGCGGAAUUCCUGGUGUAGCGGUGAAAUGCGUAGAUAUCAGAGGGAAGGCCUGUGGCGAAGGCGGCCCUCUGGCACUGGACUGACGCUGAGGCGCGAAAGCGUGGGGAGCAAACAGGAUUAGAUACCCUGGUAGUCCACGCCCUAAACGGUGGGCAUUAGGUGUAGGGCUCGUUAGGGUUCUGUGCCGCAGGGAAACCAUUAAAUGCCCCGCCUGGGGAAUACGGCCGCAAGGUUGAAACUCAAAGGAAUUGACGGGGGCCCGCACAAGCGGUGGAGCAUGUGGUUUAAUUCGACGCUACGCGAAGAACCUUACCUGGGCUUGACAUGUUAGUGGUAAGAACCCGAAAGGGGGAUGACCCCAACUUUGUUGGGGAGCUAACACAGGUGCUGCAUGGCUGUCGUCAGCUCGUGCCGUGAGGUGUUGGGUUAAGUCCCGCAACGAGCGCAACCCUUAUUCUCUGUUGGUCGGCAACGACCUCUCUGAGAAAACUGCCAGCGAUGAGCUGGAGGAAGGUGGGGACGACGUCAAGUCAUCAUGGCCCUUACGUCCAGGGCGACACACGUGCUACAAUGGCCACUACAGAGGGUCGCAAUACCGUGAGGUGGAGCCAAUCCCUAAAAGUGGUCUCAGUUGGGAUCGGAGUCUGCAACUCGACUCCGUGAACGAGGAAUCGCUAGUAAUCGUGGAUCAGCCAUGCCACGGUGAAUACGUUCCCGGGCCUUGUACACACCGCCCGUCACACCACGAAAGCCUGUUGUACCCGAAGCUGGUGCGCUAACCUGCAAAGGAGGUAGCUAUUUAAGGUAUGACCGGUGAUUGGGGUGAAGUCGUAACAAGGUA